AUUUUAUGGAGAUUUUUUCUGCUUUGAUAUUUCGUUUUGCUAAUAUAUGAUUUAACUUUAGGGCUAGAUGUUGUGGUAAACAGUGAAUGUAUGGUUCUGCAGUUAUUCGGCGUCGUUUGAUAGGCAUAGUUCAAACUCCUAAUGUCUUCUAAUGUUGAGAACACUGUGGCAGAAAUUCUGGAAGACUUCUCAAAAUGUGAUAGAACUGGAAGAAGGAAUGCAGUAGCAGACACUAAAGAUGAACCUUUACUUAACGCUGAUGUUGAAACUAGUUUGAAAAAUUUGUCAGUUAGUGGUGAUAAAACACAAGGUACAUCGACAACAAACAGUUCAACUAAAUCUAGCUGAUCAGUUGCUGCAUACAGAAAUGACAUUUCUUUUAUCUACUGUUCCACACUGUGUUACUUAUACAGCGUUUCAAUGAACAAUAAUUUUAUUUACGAAUCCGAGUUUUAUCCUAAACUUUCUGUGCUGUGUAAUACAGAGACUGCCAUCUUACAACUUAAGAGACAUUUCUGCUCCAUA